rnacentral:lncRNA from 1 species
AAUAGACUAUUUGAAAUAAAUAAUUGAAAUAAAAUAUGAAAAUAAAAAUUAAAUAAAUUAAAUAAAAUAUAAAAGAAUGUAAAAUAUAUUUUUUGGUAUUUUUAUGAAUAAAUAAAAUAUUUUUUAUUAAUUAAAUCAAAACAGAAUAAUAAUAAAAAAUGAAUAAGAAUUAAAGAAAGAAAAUAGAAAUGAAAAUAAAGGAUUAGUGUGUUAGUGGGCCUGAAUACAGGGGGU